rnacentral:rRNA from 1 species
AAAUUGAAGAGUUUGAUCAUGGCUCAGAUUGAACGCUGGCGGCAGGCCUAACACAUGCAAGUCGAGCGGUAGCACAGAGAGCUUGCUCUCGGGUGACGAGCGGCGGACGGGUGAGUAAUGUCUGGGAAACUGCCUGAUGGAGGGGGAUAACUACUGGAAACGGUAGCUAAUACCGCAUAACGUCGCAAGACCAAAGUGGGGGACCUUCGGGCCUCAUGCCAUCAGAUGUGCCCAGAUGGGAUUAGCUAGUAGGUGGGGUAACGGCUCACCUAGGCGACGAUCCCUAGCUGGUCUGAGAGGAUGACCAGCCACACUGGAACUGAGACACGGUCCAGACUCCUACGGGAGGCAGCAGUGGGGAAUAUUGCACAAUGGGCGCAAGCCUGAUGCAGCCAUGCCGCGUGUGUGAAGAAGGCCUUCGGGUUGUAAAGCACUUUCAGCGGGGAGGAAGGCGCUAAGGUUAAUAACCUUGGCGAUUGACGUUACCCGCAGAAGAAGCACCGGCUAACUCCGUGCCAGCAGCCGCGGUAAUACGGAGGGUGCAAGCGUUAAUCGGAAUUACUGGGCGUAAAGCGCACGCAGGCGGUCUGUCAAGUCGGAUGUGAAAUCCCCGGGCUCAACCUGGGAACUGCAUUCGAAACUGGCAGGCUAGAGUCUUGUAGAGGGGGGUAGAAUUCCAGGUGUAGCGGUGAAAUGCGUAGAGAUCUGGAGGAAUACCGGUGGCGAAGGCGGCCCCCUGGACAAAGACUGACGCUCAGGUGCGAAAGCGUGGGGAGCAAACAGGAUUAGAUACCCUGGUAGUCCACGCCGUAAACGAUGUCGAUUUGGAGGUUGUGCCCUUGAGGCGUGGCUUCCGGAGCUAACGCGUUAAAUCGACCGCCUGGGGAGUACGGCCGCAAGGUUAAAACUCAAAUGAAUUGACGGGGGCCCGCACAAGCGGUGGAGCAUGUGGUUUAAUUCGAUGCAACGCGAAGAACCUUACCUGGUCUUGACAUCCACAGAACUU